rnacentral:rRNA from 1 species
CCGGGGCCGCACGCGCGCUACAUUGAAGGAAUCAGCGUGUGCUUUCCCGGUCCGACAGGACUGGGUAACCCGUUGAAACUCUUUCGUGCUGGGGAUUGGAAAAUGUAAUUAAUUCCAUGAACGAGGAAUUCCCAGUAAGCACGAGUCAUCAGCUCGUGUUGAUUACGUCCCUGCCCUUUGUGCACACCGCCCGUCGCUACUACCGAUUGAAUGAUUAAGUGAGGUCUUCGGACUGGCGCUCGGAUUGGCCUUCGGGUCGAGCCGGCGUGCCGGAAAGAUGACCAAACUUGAUUAUUUAGAGAUAGUAAAAGUCGUAACAAGGUUUCC